AGUGAACGCUGGCGGUAGGCCUAACACAUGCAAGUCGAACGGCAGCACAGUAAGAGCUUGCUCUUACGGGUGGCGAGUGGCGGACGGGUGAGGAAUACAUCGGAAUCUACUUUUUCGUGGGGGUUAACGUAGGGAAACUUACGCUAAUACCGCAUACGACCUACGGGUGAAAGCAGGGGAUCUUCGGACCUUGCGCGAUUGAAUGAGCCGAUGUCGGAUUAGCUAGUUGGCGGGGUAAAGGCCCACCAAGGCGACGAUCCGUAGCUGGUCUGAGAGGAUGAUCAGCCACACUGGAACUGAGACACGGACCAGACUCCUACGGGAGGCAGCAGUGGGGAAUAUUGGACAAUGGGCGCAAGCCUGAUCCAGCCAUACCGCGUGGGUGAAGAAGGCCUUCGGGUUGUAAAGCCCUUUUGUUGGGAAAGAAAAGCAGCAGGUUAAUACCCCGCUGUUCUGACGGUACCCAAAGAAUAAGCACCGGCUAACUUCGUG
rnacentral:rRNA from 1 species